GGUACUGGUCCCAGUCCCGGUACUGGUCCCGGUUCCAGCCCUGAUCCCAUCCCAGUCGUGGUCCUGUCCCCAUUCCCGUUCCUGGUCCUGUUCCUUUUCCCCCUCCCGCUGCUGUUCCCAGUCCUGGUUCCAGUCCCCUUCCCAGUCCCGGUGCCAUUCUCAAUCCCAUUUCCAGUCCCAGUCCCGAUCCCAUUCCUAGUCCUGGUCCUGUUCCCAUCCCCACUCCUGUUCCCGUUCCCAUUCCCACUCCUCUUUCCCCUCCUGCUGCUGUUCCCAGUCCCGAUCCUAUUCCCAGUCCUGGCCCUGUUCCUGUUCCCACUCCUGCUGUUCCCAUUCCCAGUGCCAGUUCAGAUUCUGUUCCCAGUGCCAUUCCCGGUCCCGUUUCCAGUCCCGACCCCAUUCCCACUCCUGCUGCCAUUCACAAACCCGUUCUCAGCACCAGUCACAAUCCUAUUCCUGUUCCCAUUCCCAGUUCUGUUCCCAUUCCCGGUGCCAUUCCCGUCCCAGUUCCUGUUCCUAUUCCCAUUCCCAGUGCUGCUCCUGUACCCAUUCCCGAUCCCAUUCCCAGUGCCGUUCUUAUUCCCAGUCCCGACCCUGAUCCCAUUCCCGGUGCCAGUCCCAUUCCCAGUGUGUUCCUGUUCCCAUUCCUGAUCUUGUUCCCGUUCCCAUUCCUGAUCCCAUUCCCAGUGCUGAUCCCAUUCCUGGUGCCGUUCCUAUUCCUAUUUCUGCUCCCCAUCCCAUUCCCAGUACCAGUCCCAUUCCCACUGUGUCCUAGUUCCCAUUCCUGACCCCGUUCCCAGUGCCGUUCCCAUUCCCAAUCCCAUUCCCAGUGCUGUUCCCAUCCCAGUUCCUGUUCCUAUUCCCAAUCCCAAUCCUAAUCCCAAUCCCACAGGACUGGCAGGUUCGCUACCAGCAGGACGCACCGGUCGCCCCCCGCUUCGAUGUCAACGCCCCCGACCUCUACAUCCCGGGUACGGCCCCGACCCCAAACCCUGACCCCUGACCCCAAACCCUGACCCUAACCCCGCUCCCUGUCCCCACAGCCAUGGCCUUCAUCACCUACCUGCUGGUGGCCGGGCUGGCACUGGGCA
rnacentral:lncRNA from 1 species